GAUGAACGCUGGCGGCGUGCCUAAUACAUGCAAGUCGAGCGAACAGACGAGGAGCUUGCUCCUCUGACGUUAGCGGCGGACGGGUGAGUAACACGUGGAUAACCUACCUAUAAGACUGGGAUAACUUCGGGAAACCGGAUCUAAUACCGGAUAAUAUAUUGAACCGCAUGGUUCAAUAGUGAAAGACGGUUUUGCUGUCACUUAUAGAUGGAUCCGCGCUGCAUUAGCUAGUUGUUAAGGUAACGGCUUACCAAGGCAACGAUGCGUAGCCGACCUGAGAGGGUGAUCGGCCAGACUGGAACUGAGACACGGUCCAGACUCCUACGGGAGGCAGCAGUAGGGAAUCUUCCGCAAAGGGCGAAAGCCUGACGGAGCAACGCCGCGUGAGUGAUGAAGGUCUUCGGAUCGUAAAACUCUGUUAGUAGGGAAGAACAAAUGUGUAAGUAACUAUGCACGUCUUGACGGUACCUAAUCAGAAAGCCACGGCUAACUACGUG
rnacentral:rRNA from 1 species